GACGAACGCUGGCGGCGUGCUUAACACAUGCGAGUCGAACGGAAAGGCCCUGCUUUUGUGGGGUGCUCGAGUGGCGAACGGGUGAGUAACACGUGAGUAACCUGCCCUUGACUUUGGGAUAACUUCAGGAAACUGGGGCUAAUACCGGAUAGGAGCUCCUGCUGCAUGGUGGGGGUUGGAAAGUUUCGGCGGUUGGGGAUGGACUCGCGGCUUAUCAGCCUGUUGGUGGGGUAGUGGCUUACCAAGGCUUUGACGGGUAGCCGGCCUGAGAGGGUGACCGGCCACAUUGGGACUGAGAUACGGCCCAGACUCCUACGGGAGGCAGCAGUGGGGAAUAUUGCACAAUGGGCGGAAGCCUGAUGCAGCAACGCCGCGUGCGGGAUGACGGCCUUCGGGUUGUAAACCGCUUUCGCCUGUGACGAAGCGUGAGUGACGGUAAUGGGUAAAGAAGCACCGGCUAACUACGU
rnacentral:rRNA from 1 species